ACAUUUUUGCCAUCGUAACGAAGGUUUUUGCAAAGACAAUUUGUUUUGGUUUAUUUCAUGGUUAAAUCCUUUGCGAUGGUUUAUUUAGUUAUUUUAAUCUAUAAAAAGUGUUUACAAUUUUCAUGGGACGAUAAACAUCAGAUCGGCUGCGAUUUUAUUCCAAUAAAAGUACGAAAUAACCAAACAUGGCCACGUUAAUAUUGCUGCGUAAUGGGUCUGGUGCUGUUACAAUUUUAUGAUUUAAGAGAUAGUCAAAUGUAGUUAUCAAAUUAGUUGGCCGUGAAUUCGAGACAAAAUUUUAAAUUCAAUGGCGUUCUCGUGUAAGAGAUCGCAUUGCUAGAAUCAGCAAAGGAGCUGGUGUAGAACGCUAGUCCCAAACCAAUGAGCUUUGUGCUUGAGGGUGGAAGCAACUUUUUGAAGAGCAAAUACUACGGUGAGCACAUUCGGAUGUUGCAUAACCUAUUGUAAAUUGCGCUUAGAAUCCCGGUACUGCUGGUCAGGUUUAUCAGGCUGUUGGGCCAAAGCGUUACCAGUUGAGCGAAUUAAUUGACUGGUUUCAUCGUGUUAUGCGCAAAGAUGAAAAAUGGUGGGGAUACCGUCAUUGAGACAUGUGUUGUGAUCCUACCUUCUUAUUGAAAGCCAAGUUCACGAAUGUAUUACCGAUGUCGUUCCCUCCAACAUACCGUGGUUGAAGAAUUUUGGUGUACAAUCUGGGGGAACCAGCUCCACCAAAACCGAUAGAACAUCGGGAUGAACUACGCAAAUAAUAAACAACACUUAUCAAAAGAAAGUUGGCAGCGUUGGUGACUAAGCAGCAAUUUGAAAAAGAAACAUUUGCAUCUACGUGAAUUACAAUUCGUCUUUACAUCUAGUGAAUUAUGGUCGAUUAUGAAUGGUGUGGAAGUUGAUAUUUAAACUUUAAAAAACAAAUAAAUGUAAUUUGGCUAAUAUUGAUAUUUAAACUUUAAAAAACAAAUAAAUGUAAUUUGGCUAAUAAUGAGCCGCUAUUAAAAGUUAA